rnacentral:rRNA from 1 species
CCUACGGGAGGCAGCAGUGGGGGAUAUUGCACAAUGGAGGAAACUCUGAUGCAGCGACUGCCGCGUGAGCGAAGAAGUAUUUCGGUAUGUAAAGCUCUAUCAGCAGGGAAGAUAAUGACGGUACCUGACUAAGAAGCUCCGGCUAAAUACGUGCCAGCCGCCGCGGUAAU